ACGGGAAUGAUGAUGUCUUUGAUCUUGAGACAGCUCUAUGAUGUUUCACGUAUUCAUACUGUCUGACCCGA